UCAGGUUGCCCAGGCCUUGUCCCUUGAGCUUCCGGCCCGAGUCCCCAGGAGACGGGACAGGCGGCUCCACCAGGAAUCAACAUUCCCCCAGCCUGGCUGUUCCCUACUCUCAACCCCUCCUGCUCGCCCAGGUCCUCUCUGGCCAAGGGCUCUCAUCACAUCCUUUGAAGAAAAUGAAACACCCAGAAAAGGACUCAAGAUUGAUCGACUCGGGUCAUCAGCGCUUAUCGUGGGUUGGAGAAGGAAUUGACAGAUCGCUUCCAGUGCCAAGAAAACUCCAAAUGGACAAGACUGAACCAGAACAUCAGCAACAAGCACAGGACCAGAAGCGAUGGAUAGAAGUUGCAGAGAAGUAAAUUUUAACUUGAUGUCUCCAAACAACAGCAACAAACUUCUUGAUAAAUGUUAUUCAGUCAUGUCUGACUCUUCUUGACCCCGUGGACCAUAUAUAUGCCAAUACUUGGAAUUUUCUUGGCAGCUUUGGAUAAAUUGGAUAAAUCAGUCAACUGCCCAGUGCCCCAGACACUCCCUGAGAACAACAAGGCUGUUCCUCUACAAUGAUGGGGAGAUUUUCCACCCUGGAUGUACUAUGUAUCAAUCACUCACAGGUGGAGAGUAGCUGCCUAGCACCAUGGAUAGCUUCUUAGACAUGGAGACUGAAGGAUAUGGCUUUAUAUUUGACCUUUGACAGAUAGGAAUAAAUUAUCUAA